rnacentral:rRNA from 1 species
AGCGAACGCUGGCGGCAGGCUUAACACAUGCAAGUCGAACGGGCGUAGCAAUACGUCAGUGGCAGACGGGUGAGUAACGCGUGGGAACGUACCUUUUGGUUCGGAACAACACAGGGAAACUUGUGCUAAAUACCGGAUAAGCCCUUACGGGGAAAGAUUUAUCGCCGAAAGAUCGGCCCGCGUCUGAUUAGCUAGUUGGUGAGGUAAUGGCUCACCAAGGCGACGAUCAGUAGCUGGUCUGAGAGGAUGAUCAGCCACACUGGGACUGAGACACGGCCCAGACUCCUACGGGAGGCAGCAGUGGGGAAUAUUGGACAAUGGGGGCAACCCUGAUCCAGCCAUGCCGCGUGAGUGAUGAAGGCCCUAGGGUUGUAAAGCUCUUUUGUGCGGGAAGAUAAUGACGGUACCGCAAGAAUAAGCCCCGGCUAACUUCGUG